CCAAUUGGCUACUAGUGAGACGAAUAAAUGCACCCACCAGAAACUAUAACAGCUAUACGUGGACCUUAAUACAACUGCAUGGGAAGAAAAAAAUUGACAGCAUGCUGAAUUAUUCCUCUAGUGCACCGAAUUUGAAGGCAAAAUAAACACAGACUACACACAAGAAUAGGUUGGGUGAAUUCAAUGUUCGUUUCGAGUGCAAUUAAAGUAUGACGAAAGAAAUACUGCGAAAACAGCUCCCACAUGGCAGUUAGGUAUUGCGAAAUUAAAACAUCCAAUUAAAAAUCGCUCCUUUAUUUAAGUGUGUUAGUUAUUAGCCUUUGUAUAUAAAUGCAAUCUUCUUCAUUUGGCAUUUGAACACAUAAUAGAGAAAGUUAGUGAAGAAAAAGAAGAAAAAGAUGGCUUCUAAACCAGGGAUUCUUACCGAAUGGCCAUGGACAUGGCUCGGCAACUUCAAGGUGCUUCGUUUAUCUGCAUUAGUUAAAAAAAAAAAAAAAGGUUGUGUUAGUAUUUAUGAACUUUGUUAUACUUAAUUUGAUUUUAAUUUUUUAUUUUUUUUAUUUUUUUUGAUUUAGUACCUGGUAUUGGCGCCAUGGGCAGUACCUGCAACAUACUCAUUUCUGACGAAGGAUGAUAACCGGAAGUACUUAUCAUCUUUUCUCGUGUUACC
rnacentral:lncRNA from 1 species